AUACGAAAGGUGCAAGCGUUGUUCGGAUUUACUGGGCGUAAAGAGAGUGUAGGUGGUUUAUUAAGUCGGAUGUGAAAUCCCGGGGCUCAACCUCGGAACUGCAUUCGAUACUGGUAGACUAGAGUUCGGGAGGGGUAAGCGGAAUUCCGUGUGUAGCAGUGAAAUGCGUAGAUAUACGGAGGAACACCUGAGGCGAAGGCGGCUUACUGGACCGAUACUGACACUGAGACUCGAAAGCGUGGGUAGCAAACAGGAUUAGAAACCCGGGUAGUCC
rnacentral:rRNA from 1 species